rnacentral:rRNA from 1 species
AUUGAACGCUGGCGGCAUGCUUUACACAUGCAAGUCGAACGGUAACAGGCCUUCGGGUGCUGACGAGUGGCGAACGGGUGAGUAAUGCAUCGGAACGUGCCCAGAGGUGGGGGAUAACGCAGCGAAAGCUGUGCUAAUACCGCAUGUGAUCUGAGGAUGAAAGCGGGGGACCAGGCAGCAAUGUUUGGCCUCGCGCCUUUGGAGCGGCCGAUGUCAGAUUAGGUAGUUGGUGGGGUAAAGGCCUACCAAGCCGACGAUCUGUAGCUGGUCUGAGAGGACGACCAGCCACACUGGGACUGAGACACGGCCCAGACUCCUACGGGAGGCAGCAGUGGGGAAUUUUGGACAAUGGGCGCAAGCCUGAUCCAGCAAUGCCGCGUGCGGGAAGAAGGCCUUGGGUUGUAAACCGCUUUUGUACGGAACGAAAAGGCUCUGGCUAAUACCUGGGGCUGAUGACGGUACCGUAAGAAUAAGCACCGGCUAACUACGUG